GUGCACGCGGGGCAUGGCGCCGGGGUAAGCGGGAGGGUGGAGGCAGUACUUGUAAGUACUGGUCGUAAAGCGGUGGUAGGUGGUACGGGAAGUCUGAUGUGAAAGCCCUGGGUUCAAGCCGGGAAUUGCAUUGUGAACUGGGGAGCUAGAGGGCGGUAGAGGGUAGUGGAAUUCCCGGUGUAGCAGUGAAAUGCGUAGAGAUCAGGAGGAACAUCUGUGGCGAAGGCGACUGCCGGGACCAGCACUGACACUGAGGCACUAAAGCGUGGGGAGCAAACAGGAUUAGAUACCCGAGUAGUC
rnacentral:rRNA from 1 species